rnacentral:rRNA from 1 species
UUGCUGGGUGGAUCAGUGGCGAACGGGUGAGUAACACGUGAGCAAUCUGCCCCUGACUCUGGGAUAAGCGCUGGAAACGGCGUCUAAUACUGGAUAUGAACCGUGGAGGCAUCUUCAACGGUUGGAAAGAUUUUUUGGUCAGGGAUGAGCUCGCGGCCUAUCAGCUUGUUGGUGAGGUAAUGGCUCACCAAGGCGUCGACGGGUAGCCGGCCUGAGAGGGUGACCGGCCACACUGGGACUGAGACACGGCCCAGACUCCUACGGGAGGCAGCAGUGGGGAAUAUUGCACAAUGGGCGCAAGCCUGAUGCAGCAACGCCGCGUGAGGGAUGACGGCCUUCGGGUUGUAAACCUCUUUUAGCAGGGAAGAAGCGAAAGUGACGGUACCUGCAGAAAAAGCGCCGGCUAACUACGUGCCAGCAGCCGCGGUAAUACGUAGGGCGCAAGCGUUAUCCGGAAUUAUUGGGCGUAAAGAGCUCGUAGGCGGUUUGUCGCGUCUGCUGUGAAAUCCCGAGGCUCAACCUCGGGUCUGCAGUGGGUACGGGCAGACUAGAGUGCGGUAGGGGAGAUUGGAAUUCCUGGUGUAGCGGUGGAAUGCGCAGAUAUCAGGAGGAACACCGAUGGCGAAGGCAGAUCUCUGGGCCGUAACUGACGCUGAGGAGCGAAAGGGUGGGGAGCAAACAGGCUUAGAUACCCUGGUAGUCCACCCCGUAAACGUUGGGAACUAGUUGUGGGGUCCAUUCCACGGAUUCCGUGACGCAGCUAACGCAUUAAGUUCCCCGCCUGGGGAGUACGGCCGCAAGGCUAAAACUCAAAGGAAUUGACGGGGACCCGCACAAGCGGCGGAGCAUGCGGAUUAAUUCGAUGCAACGCGAAGAACCUUACCAAGGCUUGACAUAUACGAGAACGCUGCAGAAAUGUAGAACUCUUUGGACACUCGUAAACAGGUGGUGCAUGGUUGUCGUCAGCUCGUGUCGUGAGAUGUUGGGUUAAGUCCCGCAACGAGCGCAACCCUCGUUCUAUGUUGCCAGCACGUAAUGGUGGGAACUCAUGGGAUACUGCCGGGGUCAACUCGGAGGAAGGUGGGGAUGACGUCAAAUCAUCAUGCCCCUUAUGUCUUGGGCUUCACGCAUGCUACAAUGGCCGGUACAAAGGGCUGCAAUACCGUAAGGUGGAGCGAAUCCCAAAAAGCCGGUCCCAGUUCGGAUUGAGGUCUGCAACUCGACCUCAUGAAGUCGGAGUCGCUAGUAAUCGCAGAUCAGCAACGCUGCGGUGAAUACGUUCCCGGGUCUUGUACACACCGCCCGUCAAGUCAUGAAAGUCGGUAACACCUGAAGCCGGUGGCCCA